rnacentral:sRNA from 1 species
GGAUGUGCAGGCAAGCUGGCAGGGACAUCUGUCACAGCGCCGAUGGCCAGCGUGGAUUUGGCUGGUCCAGCUGGCUGGGCGGGGUUCCUCGCCUUCCCUCCCGGCUCCUCCCGGAGCUGGAGGAGCCGGCUACCUUCUAAGAUACAGCAAAGCUUUUCUUCCGUGUAAAGAGAUGUCAGAAGACAUGUCUCAGGGUGCUU